rnacentral:rRNA from 1 species
GACGAACGCUGGCGGCGUGCUUAACACAUGCAAGUCGAACGGAAAGGCCCUGCUUUUGUGGGGUGCUCGAGUGGCGAACGGGUGAGUAACACGUGAGUAACCUGCCCUUGACUUUGGGAUAACUUCAGGAAACUGGGGCUAAUACCGGAUAGGAGCUCCUGCUGCAUGGUGGGGGUUGGAAAGUUUCGGCGGUUGGGGAUGGACUCGCGGCUUAUCAGCUUGUUGGUGGGGUAGUGGCUUACCAAGGCUUUGACGGGUAGCCGGCCUGAGAGGGUGACCGGCAACAUGGGGAGUGAGUGCCGCCCCACACCCCUAGGGGGGGAAGAGGGGGGAAAUUUGGCCAAGGGGGGGGAGGCCUGAUGCAGCACCCCCGGGUGGGGGAGGACGGCCUUCGGUUUGUAACCCGCUUUCGCCUGUGACGAAGGGGGAGUGACGGUAGUGGAAAAAGAACCCCGGGCAAACUAGGGC